GCUCUCCCAUGAUGACGUGCACUGGGCUCUGAGUCCACGUGGAGACGAGCGUGCAUGUCUGGCCCUGACAAGCCAGAUCUUCUGAGGAGAGC
rnacentral:snoRNA from 13 species